rnacentral:misc_RNA from 1 species
CUGGACUCGAUUUUGGAGGAAGGAAGUUCAGGGUCGGGUAUAUUCCAGGGGCUGGGUUUGGGUGACGAGUUGCAGGAGGGUUUGGGAGAGGAGGAAGUUGGCAGAACUAGGUCGCAGCCAGAAGGUGUGCCAGGUAGUCUGCUCUCAGCUUAUGAGAUGGUAAAAAAGAACGGUCAGGUUACUCCAGAGGUGGCGGUUUGUGCUGCUGUUCCGGCAGUGUAUACAGGUUCAUCCGUGUCAUAUCGUAGCAAGAGGAGGGCUGCAACUUCAGCGGGAGACAGUUUGGAGAGGGCUUCCAGGUUGAAGGCGUCUCACAACCUCGACUCCGAUUCAUGGAAGGCGAGGUCUAGGGCCUUAGAUAAGGAGGAGCGAGAGAGAGUAGAUGAGGCGGAACUGAAUAACUUUAUCUUGGGUGUUCUUUUUGAGGAUAAUACAGAUGAGGUGAUGGACAUGGAAAGUGAACAUAUAGCAAUGUCUCGUACUGACAUGUCCGAAGUCACAAAGGGUUCCAUGAGGAGAAUUAAGUCAAAUUCUUUUGAGUCUAAAUGA